AAAAACAGUACAUCAACCUGUUGACCUGGCUAUGGCUAAUAGGUUCCAUUCCUGUGCUACAACUUUUCCAAUGACACAUAACUGACUGACUGGCAGCUUUCAGUUUCAGGUUUUAGAGACAAAU
rnacentral:snoRNA from 1 species